UUAUUCUGACAAUACUGUACUUGUGUGAAAUUUUAAUGUGGAAUCUUUGUUUCACCAGGUAAUGUUGGCUUACAUGCAACAAACCACUGUAUGGAAGAUGGUAGAAGGAUUGAUUGUGCUAUUUCUUUUUGUAUGAGCCACUGGUAGGCAUAGUAGCUAUGUUGUUACCAUAACUGGUUAACAUAGAAGCUUAACAUGCCAUGAUGUCUGGCUGACAGAUGUGUCUAUAUCCUAUCAGAGUGCUUUGGUUUUUCCUAAGUUUUUUUCAAGAGCACAGUGGGAAUUCUUGCACACUAGGCACAGACAGGGAAAACUGGGAACUUUCUGCUUAGAUAACAGAAAGUGAAAAGUAACUAUUUACAGAUAAAUGUGGUUCUUUGCAACUCUGUUUACUUCCGCUGAUGAGCACUGUACUGUUUCCCAGGCUUCAAUACCUAGCAAGUAUUUCACAUGUCCUUCACACAAGCAUCUAUCAAGACAUCCCACACUGCACAACAGACUCCUCAGUCCUGUGGUAGUUUCCCAGUCAAUGAUUAGUCACAGGUGAAGCUGUAGCACAGGAGCUGUACUUCACACUCCUUUGGGCUAUUGAUACAACUGAUUAUUGUCAUUUUCUAUGAAAAAAAAAAAAAACCAACAAAACUUGAAUGGGCAUCUUAUUUCCAAAUGAAUAGCAAUUGCCUAGCUAUAUAACUUAGCACAUUUAAGCACUGCAGCCUCUCUUUAUAACAGGCAGAGAUUUAAAAGUUUGAUAAUACUGUUCCAAAUUGAGCAAAGGAGUGGAAGCAGCAUAGCUCGGGCCAGGCAGUGUAUAGCAGCAGCAGUGCAACAUGCAGCUGAACCGAGCAAAAUGGAUCUGAACUCUGAGCACAUCAUGGGCUCAGUGGUAAGCCAGUAUGAGGUUCAGAUGUUAUGUAAGGCAUCUGUGCUCAAACCCUAUGGCAAAGGAAAGCUGGAGUAAUUAUAGUAAUACUUGUAAUUUUCCACUUGAUGCCUACCUGAUCUAGCAAUGCAGAAAUGGUGAAUGGGGUUCGUACAUAGCAAGCUGUUUGAAAACAAUCAGGAGCUGGCAGAGUACCAUGAAAUUUACUAUUUGCUUUUUGGAUUUUCUUGUUUUUCUUCCUUCAUUCUGUUCCUUUCCAUCCUCCUCCUUUAGCUUGUUAUUUAGUUUAAAGGAAAUGAUCACUCGUGGUUGUAUUACUGGUAAAGAAGUGACCUCGUGCGAGCUUCCUGCUAAGCCGGCAUCCCUUCCUCCACCUGCCAUAAAGCACAUUAUAGCAUUACAGAUGGAAGAUAAUGUUCUGCACCAGUUCUGCUGUCCACCUUCGGGGUCUAGUAGUCCAUCUUCAAGAUGACAGCGAAGCUCGGGGUCGCUAAGUGUGCAGUCAGUGCUACAUCUGUAUAGGCCAUCUCUCCUCUUACUGGUGUGUAUGGGACUGACACUUGCAUGGAUGCCACAGGAUUGUGAUUCAUGUUGAGUCUGAGUUAUUCAGAAUGGCACAGCCAUAUGAUUUUGCCAUCGAUGCUUGGUAAUCUCCUCUCCAUGCUUUUCUACAGCUCUUGUCCUUGUGUCCAGUAUCUAAAACACAUGCAGACUGUAAACAAGUACCUAAAAUGCACAGUUUAUUUUGAACUAAAAUAAACAGUACCAUAAGUCUUUAA